rnacentral:rRNA from 1 species
GAUGAACGCUGGCGGCGUGCCUAAUACAUGCAAGUCGAGCGAACAGACGAGGAGCUUGCUCCUCUGACGUUAGCGGCGGACGGGUGAGUAACACGUGGAUAACCUACCUAUAAGACUGGGAUAACUUCGGGAAACCGGAGCUAAUACCGGAUAACAUGUUGAACCGCAUGGUUCAACAGUGAAAGACGGUCUUGCUGUCACUUAUAGAUGGAUCCGCGCCGCACUAGCUAGUUGGUAAGGUAACGGCUUACCAAGGCAACGAUGCGUAGCCGACCUGAGAGGGUGAUCGGCCACACUGGAACUGAGACACGGUCCAGACUCCUACGGGAGGCAGCAGUAGGGAAUCUUCCGCAAUGGGCGAAAGCCUGACGGAGCAACGCCGCGUGAGUGAAGAAGGUCUUCGGAUCGUAAAACUCUGUUAUUAGGGAAGAACAAAUGUGUAAGUAACUAUGCACGUCUUGACGGUACCUAAUCAGAAAGCCACGGCUAACUACGU